CUCAUGUUCCAAACACCUCAUUAGGCCCACUUCCAACACUGGAGGCCACAUUUCAACAUGAGAUUUGGAAGGGACCAAACUUCCAAACCACAUGAGAUAUGCUUAAGCUAAAGAGUUCAUUGCAGAUGCAAAGACCCCAUAUCCAUUCAUCUUGUUAAACCAAAACUUGGGAUAGAUUGGUUGGUGAAUUCAAUGAAGAUAAAUGAAACUUGGAGACAGAUGGAUCUUUAAACAAAUUGCUUCUGCAGAUUUAUUCAGGUGGUUCUGAUGAAGUGAAACAUCACAUGACCAAAGUAUUUAGGGAGUCUGGUGGCAUCAUUUUGAGUAUCUACUAAUACGAAUCAGAAGCAACAAGGUGCCAGAGAUGGUCUCUAGAACACAGCUGAAAUUCGUUAUAGAUCCAGAGGGAAGAACGCCACCUACUGAACAUCGCAUUUCAAAACGUAUCUUUUCAUCAUGAGAACUUAAUGAUCAUAAUAAACUUAAUAAGACGUAA